ACACUCCAGAGGAGGUACUUUGUAUUGGAAGAAGCAGGCAAAAUCCUUACUCUAUGACAUUGUAUAAUGCAUAUCUCUUUGUUGAUUAUUUCGAAGAGUAAUGUUUUUGUAAUAAGAACUAGCCUCUUUAAUACCAAUUAAAUGAAUUGUUAUUCAUAGGAUCUGAUACGAAUGACAUCCAUCGACCGCCUACUGGAGAAAAUCAAAGUACAGGAAGUACAAAAGAAAUUAAUUCAACUUCCAAAGGGCGGCGAACGUCAACCCUUUCCCGACGCCCUUGUCCAUGAAGGUAAAAAAAAAAACCCUACAAACUCAAUCGGGAAAUCACGGAGCUGCGAAUGACCACAGAAUUUUGUGUCGCACUCCUGAAAUCUCCAAUACAAAUUGUUAAAAUACUUGAAGAAGCAAAUAAUAUGUCAAAAGUGAAGUCUUGCUUUAAUGUAUGGAUGACAUAGAGGAUUUCCUUGUGGUAGAGACUCUAUAUUGGAUGACGAACAUCUUUGUAGUAAACGAUUCAUUUGUGAAGAACUUGUCAAAAGGGUAAGUAAUGUUAUGGAAAAUGAUGUCCGCGUCACUGUCGUGGAAUUAUCAGAUAUAUUUGAUGCUACGUGUAGCCAUGGCACCGUCUUCAUUAUUCUUACUGAACAUUUUGAAAUGAGAAAAGUUGCAGCCCGCUAGAUACCUAGACGAUAAAGCUAGAAGGCGCCACAGGCUGUGUGUGAAAUUUUGAGAAACUGUGAAACGCGACACUGUGACGUUGUCUUUUUAACGUAACGAUGCUCCAUGGCGAAAGAACACACUGUUUUUAAAAUUAUAUAUCACAAAUACUGUAUGAUCAAAUAGAAUUAAACCUCCCAGAUCGAUAAAAUAAAUGAUUUUAAAUUUUAAAUC